UACGGGGGGUGCAAGCGUUGUUCGGAAUUAUUGGGCGUAAAGAGCGUGUAGGCGGCCGGAUAUGUCAGAUGUGAAAGCCCUGGGCUUAACCCAGGAAGUGCAUUUGAAACUGUCCGGCUCGAGUAGGGGAGAGGGAAGUGGAAUUCCUGGUGUAGAGGUGAAAUUCGUAGAUAUCAGGAGGAACACCGGUGGCGAAGGCGACUUCCUGGCCCUAUACUGACGCUGAGACGCGAGAGCGUGGGUAGCAAACAGGAUUAGAUACC
rnacentral:rRNA from 1 species